CCAACUUCUUCUGAACUCUCUCCCUCAACCGCUACUCUAGAGCUUGGCAAUCCUUGUCGAUUGUUUCUGUGUAGCGGUUGAGGUGAGGGGUUCAGAACAUGUUGG
rfam:Populus trichocarpa scaffold_12_contig_179, whole genome shotgun sequence.